CCCGGGGCGUCGGGGAAACCGUUACCAUUACUGAGUUUAGUAAUGGUGACGGUUCUACCGCCGCCUCGCCU
rfam:Alligator mississippiensis ScZkoYb_6369, whole genome shotgun sequence.